rnacentral:rRNA from 1 species
UACGGGGGGGGCAAGCGUUGUUCGGAAUUACUGGGCGUAAAGGGCUCGUAGGCGGCCAACUAAGUCAGACGUGAAAUCCCCGGCUUAACCAGGGAACUGCGUCUGAUACUGGAUGGCUUGAGUUUGGGAGAGGGAUGCGGAAUUCCAGGUGUAGCGGUGAAAUGCGUAGAUAUCUGGAGGAACACCGGUGGCGAAGGCGACAUCCUGGACCAACACUGACGCUGAGUGAGCGAAAGCCAGGGGAGCAAACGGG